UACAGAGGGUGCAAGCGUUGUUCGGAAUUAUUGGGCGUAAAGGGCGCGUAGGCGGUGCUAUAAGUCUGUGGUGAAAUCUCUGGGCUCAACUCAGAGUCUGCCAUAGAAACUGUAGUGCUAGAGUACUGGAGAGGUUCGUGGAAUUCCCGGUGUAGCGGUGAAAUGCGUAGAGAUCGGGAGGAACACCAGAGGCGAAGGCGGCGAACUGGACAGUGACUGACACUCAACUACGAAAGCGUGGGGAGCAAACAGG
rnacentral:rRNA from 1 species